UACGGAGGAUGCGAGCGUUAUCCGGAUUUACUGGGUGUAAAGGGAGCGUAGGCGGCAGGGCAAGCCUGAUGUGAAAGCCCGGGGCCCAACCCCCGGACUGCUUUGGAAACUGUAUAGCUAGAGUGCAGGAGAGGUAAGUGGAAUUCCUAGUGUAGCGGUGAAAUGCGUAGAUAUUAGGAGGAACACCAGUGGCGAAGGCGGCUUACUGGACUGUAACUGACGUUGAGGCUCGAAAGCGUGGGGAGCAAACAGG
rnacentral:rRNA from 1 species